GACGAACGCUGGCGGCGUGCCUAAUACAUGCAAGUUGAGCGCUGAAGGUUGGUACUUGUACCAACUGGAUGAGCAGCGAACGGGUGAGUAACGCGUGGGGAAUCUGCCUUUGAGCGGGGGACAACAUUUGGAAACGAAUGCUAAUACCGCAUAAAAACUUUAAACACAAGUUUUAAGUUUGAAAGAUGCAAUUGCUUCACUCAAAGAUGAUCCCGCGUUGUAUUAGCUAGUUGGUGAGGUAAAGGCUCACCAAGGCGAUGAUACAUAGCCGACCUGGGAGGGUGAUCGGCCAAAUUGGGACUGAGACACGGCCCAAACUCCUACGGGAGGCAGCAGUAGGGAAUCUUCGGAAAUGGACGAAAGUCUGACCGAGCAACGCCGCGGGAGUGAAGAAGGGUUUCGGAUCGUAAAACUCUGUUGGUAGAGAAGAACGUUGGUGAGAGUGGAAAGCUCAUCAAGUGACGGUAACUACCCAGAAAGGGACGGCUAACUACGUG
rnacentral:rRNA from 1 species